rnacentral:rRNA from 1 species
ACAACGACUUCAGAGCAGGCGAGACUACCCUCUGAAUUUAAGCAUA